rnacentral:rRNA from 1 species
ACGGAAGGCAGCAGUGGGGAAUAUUGCACAAUGGGGGAAACCUUGAUGCAGCGACGCCGCGUGAGUGAAGAAGUAUCUCGGUAUGUAAAGCUCUAUCAGCAGGGAAGAAAAUGACGGUACCUGACUAAGAAGCCCCGGCUAACUACGUGCCAGCAGCCGCGGUAAUACGUAGGGGGCAAGCGUUAUCCGGAUUUACUGGGUGUAAAGGGAGCGUAGACGGCGAUGCAAGUCUGAAGUGAAAGGCGGGGGCUCAACCCUUGGACUGCUUUGGAAACUGUAUUGCUAGAGUGCAGGAGAGGUAAGUGGAAUUCCUAGUGUAGCGGUGAAAUGCGUAGAUAUUAGGAGGAACACCAGUGGCGAAGGCGGCUUACUGGACUGUAACUGACGUUGAGGCUCGAAAGCGUGGGGAGCAAACAGGAUUAGAUACCCUGGUA